AGAAACUUAGGUUAACAUCAAACCAAGGGCCUUCAAAGCCCUAAACAGGGGACAAAACUCCUAGAUUCUG
rnacentral:tRNA from 1 species